GGAGGAGUGCCGGAGUGGUUAACGGGACGGUUUGCUAAACCGUAACCGCCUAAAAAGCGGUUCGUGGGUUCGAUCCCCACCUCCUCCG
rnacentral:tRNA from 1 species